GUAAGAGAAGGAGUGAUUGUAAGUCACUCCAAUGGUUCAUCCCUCUUCCG
rnacentral:tRNA from 1 species